GAUACUGUAGGGGAGGUCCUGCGGAAAAAUAGCUCGAUGCCAGGAUAAUAAAAAGCUUAACACCUCUCAUUCUUAUUACUUUUUCAAUAUGAAAACGAAAAAAAAGGAAAAUUCAAAAGGUCGUUUUAUUCAAAACCCUAAUUGUGACAUCCCUUCUCUCCCACUUCACACCUCGGAACGCACCCUUCUUAUAGAGAUAAACGCGCCUUCACAUCUUCUUAACCCGAAAUGGCUGCCUUCUCUCCCACUUCACACCUCGGAACGCACCCUUCUUAUAGAGAUAAACGCGCCUUC
rnacentral:lncRNA from 1 species